rnacentral:rRNA from 1 species
CACGUAGGCGGCAGGGCAAGUCAAAGGUGAAAGCCCUCAGCUCAACCGAGGAAUUGCCUUUGAAACUGCCUUGCUUGAGUCCGGGAGGGGGGAGCGGAAUUCCCAGUGUAGCGGUGAAAUGCGUAGAUACUGGGAGGAACACCGGUGGCGAAGGCGGCUCCCUGGACCGGUACUGACACUGAGGUGCGAAAGCGUGGGUAGCAAACA